CCGGGACAGGCGCUGCGCUGAGGGAAGGCGCAGGGUGCUGAGGUGAAAAAGGAGCGGGGUGAAUACGGUCCACAUAGGAUUUAACGGCUAGAAGAAAUGUGGCACACAGCGAGAGAAAGCUUGUUGGGAUGCCCAUGUUCCUAUGAGCUUGGACGAAUGCUUUCUAGUAGUCUGUGACCUUACAGUGAUGGAUUCAGAGAUGUGAUUUAGAGCAUUCUGUGCACCCGCUUCUAGCUGACGCAUGCUAUGCACAUACCAGGAUCCACAUUAUUGAUGAUUUUGAGGAAAAAUCAAGGCCCCCAUGUACAGUUGUGACUUCCAGCACACACGAG
rnacentral:lncRNA from 1 species